CCCGCCUCUCUCCAUCCCCUCAUCAAUAACAUCCACCCCGCAUCCCCAACCCCUCCCGCUUCUACCCUCCAUCUCCCUCAGAUUCCUCGCCUUGGCCAUCCACUUCCUCGCCCUGGGUUCCUUGCAAGGUCGGCGUGUCUUCUUCACCUACCGAUGCCAUCUAGGACUACCUUGGAUUCUGAUUGAGUGAUCGGCCAACAACGAGCAAGUCCCAUGGCGUUGUAGUCUUAGAUCAUGGCGGCCAUGUCCCCGCAUCAUGAAAUGAUUCUCCUCGCCAAAGGUUAUGCUCCAUGAUCUCAUCCUGUCCAACGCAUGUAGAUUGAUGUUGUUGAUUAAUUCUGGGAUUAGGAGUUAUCAAUAGGGAAAGCAUGUAUGUAAGUAUGUUACAUUAUUAUAUUCAGAUUCAGACUGCAGCUUUUGAUGUUGUACGCCACAAGCAGCAGUAUCUAGCACUGACCCUCCCUGUGCUUGGGAGAUGUUUAGGAUCGCAAGACAAUCUACCUGGAAGGUUGUCGCACCAACAGGGAUCAAAGUAGGAUAAUCGAUAAGACAACCUCUGCUCGACCGAUCUCACCUGUCCGGCCCAACAGGCAAACUCUACCUUAAUAUACAGCUAUAUAUAACAGUGACACGUGCGAUGGUGGCCGUCGCAGGUUUACUGGCGGCCUGACGGGCGAUCGGCGAGAGUAACGCUAUUCUUUCAUGUUUUCGAUCUCACCCUUUUGAUGCAGGAGACUUUGGCAUCAGUCCAUAGGAUCGAUAUAAGCAUUCAGUUCUUUCUUAGUUUUUUGAGAAAAAGCUAGCUGUUCGAUCAUUUGAUCAGAGAAAAAUAUCAGAUGAAAAGAAAAGGAAAAAGGAUCGGAUGAAAAAAAACUAGCGCGGAUAUUAAUUAUUUUCCUACAUUUAAAAUUGAUUGUAUUUAUUAAAUCAGUUGAAGUCUUGCCGAAGCUACUAUUGUUUUGCAAUCCCCAUUUACAAUGAUGGUUCGUGUAUUGUUCAUAUUCUUUGUGCUACAAAAGCAUAGUUGGUUUUUCUCUUCUUAAUUUUACGUUGUUUUCGUGUAUCUUUAUGAUCUACCUGAGCACGCAAGGUUAACUAUUAUUAACCCUUCCAGAUCUAUCAUAUUGCGAUACUGCCUUGCUAAAUAAAAAUUGAAUAUUCGACCCUCCAUUAUUUGUAUGAGAAUAUUUUAUUUUGUAAUCAAUAGUUAAAUCAAUUGUAAACACACGAACAGUGUAUUUAAGGGUCAGUUGCAUUUGAUGUGCUUUAGCAUAUUCCGGUAUGAAGUUUCUGUUAUAGCUCGGCUGCUUUUGUUUCAUGUAAUUGGUUCUUUCUGAAUAUUCAAAAAAAAAACCUUUUAGAUGCCUGUCUAAUGUGAACUCUAUCAAAAUGUAUGGAUAUCAUAUGUGUAUACUAACUUUCCUUCUAAUGCCUUUAGUUAUUCUCCAUGAAGUAACUAUUUGUUUAAAGGUCAGGUCAUGUUCUUUCAGCACUACUGGGAACUGCUAAAAAUUGUACAAUGAUGAAGACCACAAGUGUUACCAAAUAAUUAAACAAUGAAGCAGUAUUUCGAAGGACGUGCUUCUAGCAUGGCGGUAAGUCCUCUAUGUGUGACCUUGGUUCUCACAAAAAGGGUCACUCGUUGACUUUGCAGUUGCGCCACCACGGACAAUGGAGCUGGCAUUUCGGUCCUUUCGAACGAUCAUUUUUUUGUAAUAUUUUACAGUAAUAAAAAGAUUGUGCUUUCACACACCUAUUUUACGUUUGCGCCUUUGAUAAAAAAGUUGAGCUUAUGUUUUAUCAUUUCUGUCCAGUGUUGGUAUGUCUUCAAUGUGAAAUCAUUUCAUUUGCGAACCUUGAAGGUGUGUAUUGUUUACCGAAAUGUUAUAAAUAAAAUUGAUGAUGCUUACUUACAUUCCAUCCUUCCUUUGUUACACAUCAAUACAAGAAAGUUUGAUCUUUGGUUUCUUCCUUCUGGCCCCAUUUAAAAUUAUACUACCUUAUUUGUUCCCAUUGGGAAUUUGUUAGUUUUAUUUAAUAAUAUGUUGCAUUGAAGCAAACAAUAUGCUAAUUGGGCCUUCUUUUUGACAUGCAAUGUGAAUCAACACUUGGGAUAAAUUCCACUCAUCAAAUGAACUAAUUAUCCCGCAGCAACGCGUAGGGUAUCAUCUAGUUCAAAGAAAAAGUCAAACGAUGGCAUGAUAAAAGGAUACAAAAGUGUGAGUUUAAUGUAGGUGAUUAUGUGUUAUUAUUCAACUCUCGUUUAAGAUUUUUUGCAGGAAAACUUCUAUCUAAAUGGGAAGGUCCCUCCAUUAUCGAGGAGGUUUAUCAUUCUGGUGCCAUAAAAAUCAACAACUUCGAAGGCACAAGUCCGAGGGUGUU